GACGAACGCUGGCGGCGUGCCUAAGACAUGCAAGUCGUGCGGAGAGCUUCGGCUCUUAGCGGCGGACGGGUGAGUAACACGUGGAUAACCUGCCUGAUGCUCUGGAAUAACAGACCGAAAGGUCUGCUAAUGCCGGGUAAGCUCACGGAGCCGCAUGGCUUUGGGAGAAAAGGCGCUUUACGGCGCUGGCAACAGAGGGGUCCGCGGCCCAUUAGCUAGUUGGCGGGGUAACGGCCCACCAAGGCGACGAUGGGUAGCCGGACUGAGAGGGCGAACGGCACCACUGGGACUGAGACACGGCCCAGAAGCCUACGGGAGGCAGCAGUCAGGAAUUUUGCACAAUGGCCGAAAGGGUGAUGCAGCAACGCCGCGUGAGUGAUGAAGGCCUUCGGGUUGUAAAGCUCUGUUGCCCGUGACGAACGGCUCGCUCAGGAAAUGGGGCGAGUUUGACGGUAGCGGGAGAGGAAGCCCCGGCUAACUACGUGCCAGCCGCCGCUGUAAAAC
rnacentral:rRNA from 1 species